CCUUAACCUACCCUCUCCCUCACCUGAACCACUUCUCUGGCCCCUGCAGCAUCUGCAAAGGUGACACCACUGCAGUCUAGGACUACCACUCUGACAGGCUCAGCAACUAGGAUGGCAGAAGGCAGGAGUACCCAGAUGCCUCCAUGGGUCGUGCCCAAAUCUCCCUCAUUGUCAUCCCAUCUCACCUGCAUCAGUCCACGCGGCUGAUGCGCCAUAGUUGUGGAAGUUCUCGCAUCUGGAAGAACAUCUGGCGCAUGCUGGAGAUGUUGAUGCAGGCCAAGACAGCCUUGGGGCAGAGGAGGACCGCUAGAAGCCUCUUCGCUCUUCUCCCACCCUCACCUUGAAGAGAGCGAAGCAGCCGAUCUGACGCGGGAGGGGCAACCCCAAAAGGCUAGGC